rnacentral:rRNA from 1 species
AUUGAACGCUGGCGGCAUGCUUUACACAUGCAAGUCGAACGGUAACAGGCCUUCGGGUGCUGACGAGUGGCGAACGGGUGAGUAAAGCAUCGGAACGUACCCAGAGGUGGGGGAUAACGCAGCGAAAGCUGUGCUAAUACCGCAUGUGAUCUGAGGAUGAAAGCGGGGGACCUUCGGGCCUCGCGCCUUUGGAGCGGCCGAUGUCGGAUUAGCUAGUUGGUGGGGUAAAGGCCUACCAAGGCGACGAUCCGUAGCUGGUCUGAGAGGACGACCAGCCACACUGGGACUGAGACACGGCCCAGACUCCUACGGGAGGCAGCAGUGGGGAAUUUUGGACAUUGGGCGCAAGCUGAUCCAGCAAUGCCGCGUGCGGGAAGAAGGCCUUCGGGUUGUAAACCGCUUUUGGCAGGAACGAAAAGCUCUGGGCGAAUACCCUGGGGUGAUGACGGUACCUGCAGAAUAAGCACCGGCUAACUACGUG